AGCAGCCGCGGUAAUUCCAGCUCCAAUAGCGUAUAUUAAGUGUGCAGUAAAAGCUCGUAUGAAUUCGGGAUCAAUAUUUCGGUCAUGCCGUUGGUAUGCACUGUUAUCAUUGAUUUCUACCUUCUAAAGAACCGUAAUGCCAUUAAUUUGGUGUUACGGGAAAUUAGACUGUUACCUGAAAAAUUAGAGUGUUUAAAGCAGGCUCACGCUUGAAUACAUUA
rnacentral:rRNA from 1 species